UACGUAGGGGGCGAGCGUUGUCCGGAUUCAUUGGGCGUAAAGAGCUCGUAGGCGGCUUGCUAAGUCAGGUGUGAAAUCUCCAGGCUCAACCUGGAGUCGCCACCUGAUACUGGUAUGGCUUGAGUCCGGUAGGGGAUCACGGAAUUCCUGGUGUAGCGGUGAAAUGCGCAGAUAUCAGGAAGAACACCAAUGGCGAAGGCAGCUCUCUGGGACGGUACUGACGCUGAGACGCGAAAGCGUGGGGAGCGAACAGG
rnacentral:rRNA from 1 species